rnacentral:rRNA from 1 species
UACGAAGGGGGCUAGCGUUGUUCGGAUUUACUGGGCGUAAAGCGCACGUAGGCGGUUUGUUAAGUCAGGGGUGAAAUCCCAGAGCUCAACUCGGGAACUGCCUUUGAUACUGGCAAGCUAGAGUCCGGAAGAGGUAAGUGGAACUCCAGGUGUAGUAGUGAAAUGCGUAGAUAUCUGGAAGAACACCAAUGGCGAAGGCAAUGUUCUGGCUCGUUUCUGACGCUCAGGUGCGAAAGCCAGGGGAGCGAACGGG